rnacentral:rRNA from 1 species
AUUGAACGCUGGCGGCAUGCCUUACACAUGCAAGUCGAACGGUAACAGGUCUUCGGAUGCUGACGAGUGGCGAACGGGUGAGUAAUACAUCGGAACGUGCCCAGACGUGGGGGAUAACGAGGCGAAAGCUUUGCUAAUACCGCAUACGAUCUAAGGAUGAAAGCAGGGGACCGCAAGGCCUUGUGCGUUUGGAGCGGCCGAUGGCAGAUUAGGUAGUUGGUGGGAUAAAAGCUUACCAAGCCGACGAUCUGUAGCUGGUCUGAGAGGACGACCAGCCACACUGGGACUGAGACACGGCCCAGACUCCUACGGGAGGCAGCAGUGGGGAAUUUUGGACAAUGGGCGAAAGCCUGAUCCAGCAAUGCCGCGUGCAGGAUGAAGGCCUUCGGGUUGUAAACUGCUUUUGUACGGAACGAAAAGGCUCUGGCUAAUACCUGGGGCACAUGACGGUACCGUAAGAAUAAGCACCGGCUAACUACGUA